CCUACGGGUGGCAGCAGUGAGGAAUAUUGGUCAAUGGACGAGAGUCUGAACCAGCCAAGUAGCGUGAAGGAUGACUGCCCUAUGGGUUGUAAACUUCUUUUAUAUGGGAAUAAAAUGUUCCACGUGUGGGAUUUUGUAUGUACCAUAUGAAUAAGGAUCGGCUAACUCCGUGCCAGCAGCCGCGGUAAUACGGAGGAUCCGAGCGUUAUCCGGAUUUAUUGGGUUUAAAGGGAGCGUAGGUGGAUUGUUAAGUCAGUUGUGAAAGUUUGCGGCUCAACCGUAAAAUUGCAGUUGAAACUGGCAGUCUUGAGUACAGUAGAGGUGGGCGGAAUUCGUGGUGUAGCGGUGAAAUGCUGAGAUAUCACGAAGAACUCCGAUUGCGAAGGCAGUUCACUGGACUGCAACUGACACGGAGGCUCGAAAGUGUGGGUAUCAAACAGGAUUAGAUACCCGGGUAGUC
rnacentral:rRNA from 1 species